AAGUUGAAAAAUUAUUUUGAAAAUAAUUUUAUUAAAAACUUC
rnacentral:tRNA from 1 species